rnacentral:rRNA from 1 species
AUUGAACGCUGGCGGCAGGCCUAACACAUGCAAGUCGAGCGAACGAAGGGGGCUUGUUCCUGUAUGACGCUGCCGACGGAUGAGUAAGGCCCAGGAAGAUGACUGGCCGUGGGGGAUAGGGUCAGGAAAGGGGACCUAAUCCAGCAUACGUUAUUAUGGAGAAAGGGAUGGUUCAUUAGAGCUAACGCUAUUAGAUGACCCUAAUACGUGGUACCAGGUCGGAUUAGCUAGUUGGUAGGGUAACGGCCUACCAAGGCGACGAUGCGUAGCUGACCUGAGAGGAUGAUCAGCCACACUGGAACUGAGACACGGUCCAGACUCCUACGGGAGGCAGCAGUGGGGAAUCUUGGACAAUGGGCGAAAGCCUGAUCCAGCCAUGCCGCGUGUGUGAAGAAGGUCUUCGGAUUGUAAAGCACUUUUAGUUGGGAGGAAGGGCAGUAAGAUAAUCCCUUGAUGUCUUGACGGUACCAACACAAAAAGCACCGGCUAACUUCGUG